GAAAAAUUCAGGAGCGGCUGGCGCUACGGCCUCCAACUGCUUUUGGGGACGGGAGCUGCCGCCGGUCAGGCCCCAGCAGCCUCCCCAGGAGCCCCGUGGCCAUGACACAGCUGCUUCUGUUCCUUGUGGCUCUCCUGGUUCUGGGUCAUGUGCCAUCAGGGAGAAGUGAAUUCAAACGGUGCUGGAAGGGUCAAGGGGCCUGCCAAACUUACUGCACAAGGCAAGAAACUUACAUGCACCUGUGCCCGGAUGCGUCCCUGUGCUGUCUCUCCUAUGCAUUGAAACCUCCACCGGUCCCCAAGCAUGAAUAUGAGUAG
rnacentral:lncRNA from 1 species